rnacentral:rRNA from 1 species
UUGACCUCGGAUCAGGUAGGGAUACCCGCUGAACUUAAGCAUAUCAAUAAGCGGAGGAAAAGAAACCAACAGGGAUUGCCUCAGUAACGGCGAGUGAAGCGGCAACAGCUCAAAUUUGAAAUCUGGCCCCCGCAGGGUCCGAGUUGUAAUUUGUAGAGGAUGCUUCGGGUUCGGCUCCGGUCUAAGUUCCUUGGAACAGGACGUCACAGAGGGUGAGAAUCCCGUACGUGACCGGCCGCCACGCCCGUGUGAAGCUCCUUCGACGAGUCGAGUUGUUUGGGAAUGCAGCUCAAAAUGGGUGGUAAAUUUCAUCUAAAGCUAAAUACUGGCCAGAGACCGAUAGCGCACAAGUAGAGUGAUCGAAAGAUGAAAAGCACUUUGGAAAGAGAGUUAAAAAGUACGUGAAAUUGUUGAAAGGGAAGCGCUUGCAAUCAGACUUGCCCGCGGGUGAUCAGCCGGUAUUCGUGCCGGUGCACUCGCCCGCGGUCAGGCCAGCAUCGGUUUGGGCGGCUGGACAAAGGCCCCCGGAAUGUGGCUCCUCUCGGGGAGCGUUAUAGCCGGGGGUGCAAUGCAGCCAGCCCGGACCGAGGACCGCGCUCGGCUAGG